rnacentral:rRNA from 1 species
UACGGGGGGGGCAAGCGUUGUUCGGAAUUACUGGGCGUAAAGGGCUCGUAGGCGGCCAACUAAGUCAGACGUGAAAUCCCUCGGCUUAACCGGGGAACUGCGUCUGAUACUGGAUGGCUAGAGGUUGGGAGAGGGAUGCGGAAUUCCAGGUGUAGCGGUGAAAUGCGUAGAUAUCGGGAGGAACACCAGUGGCGAAGGCGACUACCUGGCCUGUUCUUGACGCUGAGGCGCGAAAGCUAGGGGAGCAAACGGG